ACCCUAAUAUUCUCACUCCAAUGGCUGGCUAAAAGGGCUUCCUAUUUUUCCUCAUCCCUUCUCCGCUGGUGAUUGAAGGCUCUCCAAACUCUACAAUGAAGUCUCCACCGCGAAAUCGAUCCUCUGCCUCAGCGCGAAAUCGAUCUUCUCCUUCAACGUCGUCUGCAACUCCCUCCAUCUGACCUCUUCCUCAAGAGUAAAGAAACAUGGCUGAUGAGGAACCGAAGCAGCUGAAUUAUAUACCGGAAGUGAUAUUGAAGAAGAGGAAAAACAAUGAAGAUUGGGCUAUUCGAAGGAAGCAACAGUUGGAGCAGAGGAUUAAGAAAAGCAAGGGUGAUAAUUUCGUUAUCAAGAAGCCUGAGCAAUUCAUUAGGGAGUUCCGAGACAAAG